GUCAACAGUGCCUAACAGAGACGUGACCGACCGCAUAAACCGAUCAGUGGCGAAGAGGAAAAAAGUAAAAGUUUACUAUAAACAAAAAUUAAUUCUCAUCAAUCACCUGGACUCCAGGUGAUUGAUGAAGUAACGAAGCGAAGCGUGUGUGUCGGACUGGAUCAUUAUCCUCGCCUCCAGUCCGUUUAAACAGUAAAUCUCGACGGACGUGUCAGUCUUUACUCCAGCUGUGGCAAACGAUAUAUAUCAUUUUAUCAUUACAUAAACCUACAAACAUUUAGAGUUUACAUACCACACGAUGGAAAUCAACUGCUCUUGUGCUUCAAGAAAUGAAGAUAUUAGAACCCAGGAAUUAUGGAUGAAGUUUUCCAAAUGAAGCAAACAUUGGGACGGACAUCUAAAGAGGUUUCAGGUAAACCUUGGCCAGGUGGCCUUGGAGGUAGAGGCGGGAGGCAGCUAGGGAGCGGAUGGCCAGUGUGAGCAUCUCUGCAGCAUGUUGGGUGAGGACUGGUAACUCCGCAGUCAGCAGGCUAUUGAGGGACAUGUAGGCUCCCUUCACCUCCAUAUCCUCAUCUUCCUGAACAGAACGUGGGAGUACCUACAAACAUUUGGAGGAUCCUAUUGCAGGAGUCUAAAGUGACUUCCCUGAUGACUUGGAUAUGGAGUGCUGGUGGUAGGAGGUCGGCCAGGCUCUCGGAGAUGAUCAAUUCGGCCGUGUGUCUGGUGCGUACCGCCUCCAGCAGUGAUUCUGUAUGGGUUACUAGCGCCCCAGCAGCCCAUUGAACACUUCGAAACUUCGUUACCAUCUUGUCAAAGUUCAACCACUCCACUUUCCCACCAUCUCAUACCUGACCGAUGAUACCCAGCUUCUGGGAGAGUAUGGUAGACAUCCUCGCAGACUUCUUGGCGAUUGAAUGAAGGUUGACGCGUCGUAUCUUGCCAUGGAGGGAGUCGUCGACAUCACUCCGUAGAGGGAGGACCUCAACACUGUAAGUGGAGCAGUACACCUUAUAGACCUGACACAGCUCUGACUUGAACUGCAGGAACACCCACCCAAUCAACAUGUCUUCAUCACUAUGCUGCUGUUCUUGUUCCAGCUUGUU